GACGAACGCUGGCGGCGUGCCUAAUACAUGCAAGUUGAGCGCUGAAGGUUGGUACUUGUACCGACUGGAUGAGCAGCGAACGGGUGAGUAACGCGUGGGGAAUCUGCCUUUGAGCGGGGGACAACAUUUGGAAACGAAUGCUAAUACCGCAUAAAAACUUUAAACACAAGUUUUAAGUUUGAAAGAUGCAAUUGCAUCACUCAAAGAUGAUCCCGCGUUGUAUUAGCUAGUUGGUGAGGUAAAGGCUCACCAAGGCGAUGAUACAUAGCCGACCUGAGAGGGUGAUCGGCCACAUUGGGACUGAGACACGGCCCAAACUCCUACGGGAGGCAGCAGUAGGGAAUCUUCGGCAAUGGACGAAAGUCUGACCGAGCAACGCCGCGUGAGUGAAGAAGGUUUUCGGAUCGUAAAACUCUGUUGGUAGAGAAGAACGUUGGUGAGAGUGGAAAGCUCAUCAAGUGACGGUAACGACCCAGAAAGGGACGGCUAACUACGU
rnacentral:rRNA from 1 species